rnacentral:rRNA from 1 species
UACGUAGGGGGCAAGCGUUGUCCGGAUUUAUUGGGCGUAAAGCGCUCGCAGGUGGUUCGUCGCGUCGUGCGUGAAAGACCCUGGCUCAACUGGGGGAUGUCGUGCGAUACGGGCGAACUGGAGGCCAGUAGGGGGAUGCGGAAUUCCGGGUGUAGUGGUGGAAUGCGUAGAUAUCUGGAGGAACACCGGUGGCGAAGGCGGCAUCCUGGACCGACACUGACGCUGAGGAGCGAAAGCCAGGGGAGCAAACGGG